rnacentral:rRNA from 1 species
UUGGAGGGCAAGUCUGGUGCCAGCAGCCGCGGUAAUUCCAGCUCCAAUAGCGUAUAUUAAAGUUGUUGCAGUUAAAAAGCUCGUAGUUGAAUUUCGGGGUCAGUAGGCUGGUCGUGCCACAGGUAUGUACUGGUCUCACUGAUUCCUCCUUCCUGAUGAACCGUAAUGCCAUUAAUUUGGUGUUGCGGGGAAUCUGGACUGUUACUUUGAAAAAAUUAGAGUGUUUAAAGCAGGCUAACGCUUGAAUACAUUAGCAUGGAAUAAUGAAAUAGGACGAUCGAUCCUAUUUUGUUGGUUUCUAGGAUUGACGUAAUGAUUAAUAUGGAUAGUUGGGGGCAUUAGUAUUCAAUUGUCAGAGGUGAAAUUCUUGGAUUUAUUGAAGACUAACUACUGCGAAAGCAUUUGCCAAGGAUGUUUUCAUUAAUCAAGAACGAAAGUUAGGGGAUCGAAGACGAUCAGAUACCGUCGUAGUCUUAACCAUAAACUAUGCCGACUAGGGAUCGGAUGAUGUUAAUUUUUUAAUGACUCAUUCGGCGCCUUACGGGAAA